rnacentral:rRNA from 1 species
CGGGGGGGGGGGCAAGCGUUGUUCGGAAUUACUGGGCGUAAAGGGCGCGUAGGCGGUCCCGCAAGUCCUCCGUGAAAUCCCACAGCUCAACUGUGGAACUGCGAGGGAAACUGCAGGACUUGAGUCCGGGAGAGGAGAGUGGAAUUCCCAGUGUAGCGGUGAAAUGCGUAGAUAUUGGGAGGAACACCGGUGGCGAAGGCGGCUCUCUGGACCGGUACUGACGCUGAGGCGCGAAAGCUAGGGGAGCAAACGGGAUUAGAUACCCCGGUAGUCCUAGCCUUAAACGAUGAGCACUUGGUGUGGCGGGUAUCGACCCCUGCCGUGCCGAAGCUAACGCAUUAAGUGCUCCGCCUGGGGAGUACGGUCGCAAAGGCUGA